rnacentral:rRNA from 1 species
UACGUAGGGUGCGAGCGUUAAUCGGAAUUACUGGGCGUAAAGCGCGUGUAGGCGGUCUCGCAAGUCGGGUGUGAAAGCCCAGGGCUCAACCCUGGAAGUGCAUUCGAUACUGCGAGGCUAGAGUCCCGGAGAGGAUGGUGGAACUCUCGGUGUAGAGGUGAAAUUCGUAGAUAUCGAGAAGAACACCGGUGGCGAAGGCGGCCAUCUGGACGGUGACUGACGCUGAGACGCGAAAGCGUGGGGAGCAAACAGG